GCCAGGCGCAGUGGUGGGCGCCUGUAGUCCCAGCUACUUGGGAGGCUGAGGCGGGAGAAUCGCUUGAACCCAGGAGACAGAGGUUGCGGUGAGCCGAGAUCGCGCCACCGCACUCCAGCCUGGGCGACAGAGCGAGACUCCGUCUCAA
ensembl:misc_RNA Metazoa_SRP Metazoan signal recognition particle RNA